CUCCGCGGCCUCGAUCGCAGCUCUGCAUUUGGCUUUCUCCAUCUCGACGAGCGCGAGAGCCGCCUCUUCUGCGUGCUUUCGUUCCUCGAACUUUCUGGCCUCUUCCUGCAGCUCUUUGGCCUGCAUUCAAAUUAAUAUACGUGUGCUAAUUCGGCAUGGCGGGAAGCUCCGACCGUGCCAAACAAGCGUUUUCUUCUGUGUACUUACACCGGCAGAACUAGGGCUCUCCGGAGAUGCUGAUGAGGGAUCUGUUAAGUGGCCAAAGUCCAUGGCCUGGAAAUCCAUGCUUUUUGUCAAAUCGAUCUCGUCUGAGGAGUCGCGAGAAAAAGAGGACCGCGGUGGCCGCACGGAGGAGUCGAGGUACUCGAGCAACGCAUCGCUGGGCGCUGUCUUAGCUGUGGAGAGGGGCCGGUCCCUCGAGGGGGUCUUUAUGUGACCAUGAAAUGCCUCAAGAGAUCUAUCGGAUCGUGGGGAUGGCGGAAUGUGGCCUCUCCAGCUUCCCUUUGAGAAUGGAUUCCUGUUAAAAAAGCAAACAAAGUGAUAUCUUUGCUGGUUCUGAUUCGAAAAGAAUUAGAUUAUAGAAGCACCCUUGAGCAAGAGUUACUUUUGAUUAUUAACUAUUGAAGUUUACAAGGAAUUGAAAUCUCGGUCUUUAAUGUAAUACAUCUUUAAGUUAACAUUCGGUGGAUCUUUGAGUAGUUCUAAUCUUAAUACUAUCACAUCUGGGCUUCCAUCCCUCGCCGAUAAUACAACUUUUGAUGUCAACAAGGAAAUACCAACUGCAAAAUGCCCAGUUUCUAUGCUCCUCUAAACAUUAUGCUUUAUCUUGUAGUAUUGUUUAAAUCCGAAUCAAUGUAUUGAAGAUCUGAAGAUCUCGGCUAGGGGUAUUUUGGUAUACGAAUAGAAAUUUGGCUCGAAGUUGCAAAACUGGAAAAGGUCCGGAUUGUCGAUAAUGAUUUAGGUCUCUUUUCUCAAUUCAUUCUUGGUAGCCGGUGUGGGCUUUCGGGGACCGGAAAUUGCCUUGGCGGGAUACCGUUAGCAGAUUUCAUCAAGCAUGUUGGUACAUCAGGAUUCCUGAAUUUUCUGCGAAGAGAAAGACCCUAUUAUUGCAUAAGCAUUUCCAAGCAAUGAAGAGGCUCAAUUACAGGAAAUCUCCUACAGAUAUCGCGAUUUUCGCUUCUACUUUGCUCGUAAACCAUUGUGGUAAAUUGUCGGUUGCGAUGUGAAGAUACCUUGUGAGGGCAUUCCUAUUUGAAGCGCCGACAACGAUAUUAUGGAUGUGGUGGGUGGUGAUGUAAUCCGCUAGUGCUUUUGAGAUGUCAACAUCUUCCAAAACCACCUCCUUCAUCUGCAUCUGAAAGGUUUCCGCCAGAAAUUUGUGACCUGCUUCAACUGUCGCAUAACCAUCUAUAGCAGAGGACCAAUAAAAUCUAUGAUGAUGAGUACAAUCCUAGGCGAUGCUUCCACCAUUCGUGUAUAAAGCACGAGAAUUAUAACAAAAGAUGAGAGAGGAUACCUACUAUUGAGGGAGUUGUUUUGGCUCCGAACGUGGACGAGGACGAGCCUCUCCAUCUUGACGAGGAGGUGGUCGACUGUCCAUCUCACCGCCUGCUGGCUGUUCUUGUCUCUGUCGAUCGCCACCACCGUCAAGAUCGCCUCAACAUUGCCGCCGCCGCCGCCACCACCGCCGCCGCUACUGCUGCUGCAGCUGCUGUAGUCCGAGCUUGCCGAGGAGAAGGAUAGCGCGGAGAGUUGCAUUUCGGUCGCCACCGUGUAAAUGCGACCAAAUAAUCACGGAGAAAGCACCAAAUGAAGAAGAAGAAGAAGAAGAAGAGGAGGAAGGGGAAGAGAAAGAGGAGACACAGAAAUCUCUCUUUCUCCUCUUCCUUAUUCUCUUCUUCAAUGUAUUUGUCAGAUUGAUAUAUUAAGUAAAUUGAUCUCCAUUUUACCUCCUGGCUUA